rnacentral:rRNA from 1 species
UCAGGACGAACGCUGCGGCGUGCCUAACACAUGCAAGUCGAGCGGGGACAUUCGACGGACAUGAAGUUUCGGAUGGAGUGAAAGAUGAAUGUUCUAGCGGCGGACGGGUGAGUAACGCGUGAGCAACCUGUCCUUCACAGGGGGAUAACACAGCGAAAGUUGUACUAAUACCGCAUAAGACCACAGUGAGACAUCUUACAGGGGUCAAAGGAGCAAUCCGGUGAAGGGUGGGCUCGCGUCCGAUUAGAUAGUUGGUGAGGUAACGGCCCACCAAGUCGACGAUCGGUAGCCGACCUGAGAGGGUGAUCGGCCACAUUGGGACUGAGACACGGCCCAAACUCCUACGGGAGGCAGCAGUGGGGAAUAUUGGGCAAUGGGGGGAAACCCUGACCCAGCAACGCCGCGUGAGGGAAGAAGGUUUUCGGAUCGUAAACCUCUGUCCUAGGUGAAGAGGAAGAGACGGUAGCCUAGGAGGAAGCCCCGGCUAACUACGUGCCAGCAGCGGC